UACGUAGGUGGCAAGCGUUGUUCGGAAUUAUUGGGCGUAAAGGGCGCGUAGGCGGUUUGUUAAGUCAGCUGUGAAAGCCCGGGGCUCAACCCCGGAGGGUCAGCUGAUACUGGCAGGCUAGAGUACAGAAGAGGUAACUGGAAUUCCCGGUGUAGCGGUGAAAUGCGUAGAUAUCUGGAGGAACACCGGUGGCGAAGGCGGCAUUCUGGACCAUAACUGACACUGAGAGACGAAAGCCAGGGGAGCAAACGGG
rnacentral:rRNA from 1 species